AUUGAACGCUGGCGGCAUGCCUUACACAUGCAAGUCGAACGGCAGCAUGAUCUAGCUUGCUAGAUUGAUGGCGAGUGGCGAACGGGUGAGUCAUACAUCGGAACGUGCCCUGUAGUGGGGGAUAACUAGUCGAAAGAUUAGCUAAUACCGCAUACGACCUGAGGGUGAAAGUGGGGGACCGCAAGGCCUCAUGCUAUAGGAGCGGCCGAUGUCUGAUUAGCUAGUUGGGGAGGUAAAGGCUCACCAAGGCGACGAUCAGUAGCUGGUCUGAGAGGACGAUCAGCCACACUGGGACUGAGACACGGCCCAGACUCCUACGGGAGGCAGCAGUGGGGAAUUUUGGACAAUGGGCGAAAGCCUGAUCCAGCAAUGCCGCGUGUGUGAAGAAGGCCUUCGGGUUGUAAAGCACUUUUGUCCGGAAAGAAAUGGCUCUGGUUAAUACCUGGGGUCGAUGACGGUACCGGAAGAAUAAGGACCGGCUAACUACGUG
rnacentral:rRNA from 1 species